rnacentral:rRNA from 1 species
AGAGUUUGAUCAUGGCUCAGAACGAACGCUGGUGGCGUGUUUUAUACAUGCAAGUCGAGCGAGGACAGUAGCUUGCUACUGAGCCGAGCGGCGAACGGGUGAGUAACGCGUAAGCAAUCUGCCCCACAAUCGGGAACAACCGUGCCAACGCGCGGCUAAUGCCGGAUAUUGUGUCCUACUGCAUAGUAGGUUAACGAAAGAUUUAUCGUUGUGGGAUGAGCUUGCGUCCGAUUAGCUAGUUGGCGGGGUAAUAGCCCACCAAGGCGACGAUCGGUAGCCGGCCUGAGAGGGUGAUCGGCCACAUUGGGACUGAGAUACGGCCCAGACUCCUACGGGAGGCAGCAGUAGGGAAUAUUGCGCAAUGGGGGGAACCCUGACGCAGCAACGCCACGUGUGGGAAGAAGCAUUUCGGUGUGUAAACCACUGUCGGAAAGGAAUAACGGAAGACUUCGGUCUUUAUGAAUGUACUUUUAGAGGAAGCACCGGCAAACUUCGUGCCAGCAGCCGCGGUAAUACGAGGGGUGCAAGCGUUGUUCGGAAUCACUGGGCGUAAAGGGAGCGUAGGCGGAAGUGCAAGCAAUCUGUAUAAUCCUGGGGCCCAACCCCAGUUCUGCAGAUUGGACUGUAUUUCUUGAAUAGUUCAGAGGCAAGCGGAAUUUCUGGUGUAGCGGUGGAAUGCGUAGAGAUCAGAAAGAACACCAAUGGCGAAGGCAGCUUGCUGGGGACUUAUUGACGCUGAGGCUCGAAAGUGUGGGUAGCAAACAGGAUUAGAUACCCUGGUAGUCCACACUGUAAACGAUGCAUACUGGGUGUCCGAAAUUCGUUUCGGGUACCGUAGCUACGCGUUAAGUAUGCCGCCUGGGGGAGUACGUACGCAAGUAUGAAACUCAAUGAAUUGACGG